rnacentral:rRNA from 1 species
CAAAUCGCCCCUCUCUCUCUCCCCCGGGGGGGGGGGGUUCCCCUAUUUUCUUUCACGGGCCCCCCCUCCCCAAAUUCCCUCCCUUUUUCGGGAUUUGGCUUGGGGUUAACACUUAAAACUUGAUAUUUAAAUCUAAAUUUACAUCUAAUCUUCUCUUUUCGGUUGGAAGCCCGGGGGAAAUCGUUUCUAACCGCGGAAGGUUUAUUCUUAACCUUCCAAUAUAUUCCAACUUACACUUUGGGCGGUUGUGGGGCUUUCUAUACACUUUCUUAGGGUUCCUCCUUUGGAAGUUUCCCGGGUCUUUAGGUUAGAGUCCGGCUUACGCCUCCGCCUGGCAAUGAUACGUAGCCGACCUGAGAGGGUAAUCGGCCACAUUGGGACUGAGACACGGCCCAAACUCCUAGGGGAGGCGGCAGGUAGGAAUCUUCCACAAUGGAAGAAAGUUUGAUGGAGCAACGCCGGCUGAAUGAAGAAGGGUUUGGGUUCGUAAAAUUUUGUUGUUAAAGAAGAACAAUUUUUGAGAGUAACUGUUCAGGUAUUGACGGUAUUUAACCAGAAAGCCACGGUUAAUUACGUGCCAGCAGCCGCGGUAAUACGUAGGUGGCAAGCGUUGUCCGGAUUUAUUGGGCGUAAAGCGAGCGCAGGCGGUUUUUUAAGUCUGAUGUGAAAGCCUUCGGCUCAACCGAAGAAGUGCAUCGGAAACUGGGAAACUUGAGUGCAGAAGAGGACAGUGGAACUCCAUGUGUAGCGGUGAAAUGCGUAGAUAUAUGGAAGAACACCAGUGGCGAAGGCGGCUGUCUGGUCUGUAACUGACGCUGAGGCUCGAAAGUAUGGGUAGCAAACAGGAUUAGAUACCCUGGUAGUCCAUACCGUAAACGAUGAAUGCUAAGUGUUGGAGGGUUUCCGCCCUUCAGUGCUGCAGCUAACGCAUUAAGCAUUCCGCCUGGGGAGUACGGCCGCAAGGCUGAAACUCAAAGGAAUUGACGGGGGCCCGCACAAGCGGUGGAGCAUGUGGUUUAAUUCGAAGCUACGCGAAGAACCUUACCAGGUCUUGACAUACUAUGCAAAUCUAAGAGAUUAGACGUUCCCUUCGGGGACAUGGAUACAGGUGGUGCAUGGUUGUCGUCAGCUCGUGUCGUGAGAUGUUGGGUUAAGUCCCGCAACGAGCGCAACCCUUAUUAUCAGUUGCCAGCAUUAAGUUGGGCACUCUGGUGAGACUGCCGGUGACAAACCGGAGGAAGGUGGGGAUGACGUCAAAUCAUCAUGCCCCUUAUGACCUGGGCUACACACGUGCUACAAUGGAUGGUACAACGAGUUGCGAACUCGCGAGAGUAAGCUAAUCUCUUAAAGCCAUUCUCAGUUCGGAUUGUAGGCUGCAACUCGCCUACAUGAAGUCGGAAUCGCUAGUAAUCGCGGAUCAGCAUGCCGCGGUGAAUACGUUCCCGGGCCUUGUACACACCGCCCGUCACACCAUGAGAGUUUGUAACACCCAAAGUCGGUGGGGUAACCUUUUAGGAACCAGCCGCUCUAAAGGUGGUACAGGACGCUUACGGUAUCGUCUUCAGAUGGUUUCUACUCA